CCUACGGGGGGCAGCAGUGGGGAAUAUUGGACAAUGGGCGAAAGCCUGAUCCAGCCAUGCCGCGUGUGUGAAGAAGGCCUUCGGGUUGUAAAGCACUUUCAGUGGGGAAGAAAGCCUUGGGGCUAAUACCCUCGAGGAAGGACAUCACCCACAGAAGAAGCACCGGCUAACUCCGUGCCAGCAGCCGCGGUAAUACGGAGGGUGCGAGCGUUAAUCGGAAUUACUGGGCGUAAAGCGCGCGUAGGCGGUCUGAUAAGCCGGUUGUGAAAGCCCCGGGCUCAACCUGGGAACGGCAUCCGGAACCGUCAGGCUAGAGUGCAGGAGAGGAAGGUAGAAUUCCCGGUGUAGCGGUGAAAUGCGUAGAGAUCGGGAGGAAUACCAGUGGCGAAGGCGGCCUUCUGGACUGACACUGACGCUGAGGUGCGAAAGCGUGGGUAGCAAACAGGAUUAGAUACCCCAGUAGUC
rnacentral:rRNA from 1 species